CAGUAGCCGCGGGAAAACGAGGGGAGCUAGCGUUGUUCGGAAUUACUGGGCGUAAAGCGCGCGUAGGCGGCUUUUUAAGUCAGAGGUGAAAGCCCGGGGCUCAACGCCGGAAUUGCCUUUGAAACUGGAAAGCUAGAAUCUUGGAGAGGUCAGUGGAAUUCCGAGUGUAGAGGUGAAAUUCGUAGAUAUUCGGAAGAACACCAGUGGCGAAGGCGACUGACUGGACAAGUAUUGACGCUGAGGUGCGAAAGCGUGGGGAGCAAACAGGAUUAGAUACCCCGGUAGUCCCUGUCUCUUAUAC
rnacentral:rRNA from 1 species